GUGAUGGUGACACAAUGUGCUUCCUAUGACAAACAAAAGCUGCUGCCUACCUUACAUUGAACCCUAGUGAGUUUGUGUUCAUUUGUGAAUAUCGUGGUUGUAUACUUACAUAUACUCUACAUAUACGUGUGCAAAAAGUAACAUCAGGAUCUGUGCAUUAAUAGAAUGCUUAUAGAUAAUAUGUAGGUAGUGAACAUAUUUGAUUUUAAAAAAGUUUUUGAUUGUAGGUAUGUCCAUUUGUUAUGUGUUUAGACGUGCUGUCUUUUAGUAAAUUAACUAUUCACUAUCUACUCCUAAUUUGUGCAUUAGUAAAUUAAUCGAUGCGGCUGACAAACUUUAAGAAUGGGGAAAAAAGUGGUCAUAAUUUUUGCUCGGAUAUCCGGUUGUAGAGUCAAAUUUCAUUCCGAAUGUGUCCCACUCUUAAAGUUAACAUUCUAUCC